rfam:Rhizoctonia solani isolate BBA 69670 genome assembly, contig: RSOLAG22IIIB_scaffold02022
GGCCGCCUGGCGAAAUGGUAUCGCGUCUGACUACGAUUCGUAAUUAUCAGGAGAUUGCAGGUUCGAGCCCUGCGGUGGUCA